rnacentral:lncRNA from 1 species
UGAGUAUGAUUCAAUAUGGACCAGGAAAUUGACCCUUACAACCAACAUUUUAGGUACUCAAGGAGAAAGCUUUGAUUGAAUGUGAUGUGAUGCUUGAAGCGCGUACGAACAGGGGAAAAAUUGGGUUUUGUAAAUUGAGAAUUUUAUGUAAAUAGUUCUUUGUUGUAUUUUCUUCCGCUGAAAAUUUUAAACUAUUACUCAUUUUAAUUAAGUUUAUAUUUUAAGUGAAUUACAAUUCAGAUUUUAUU